AUUGAACGCUGGCGGCAGGCCUAACACAUGCAAGUCGAACGAGUGGCGGACGGGUGAGUAAUGUCUGGGAAACUGCCUGAUGGAGGGGGAUAACUACUGGAAACGGUAGCUAAUACCGCAUACCAUCGGAUUUGCCCAGAUGGGAUUAGCUAGUAGGUGGGGUAAAGGCUCACCUAGGAUACGAUGCCUAGCUGGUCUGAGAGGAUGACCCGCCACACGGUAACUGAGCCACGGUCCAGACUCCUACGGGCGGACGCAGUGGGGAAUAUUGCACAAUGGGCGCAAGCCUGAUGCUGCCAUGCCGCGUGUAUGAAGAAGGCCUGCGGGUUGUAAAGUCCUUUCAGCGUGGAGGCGUUACCCGCAGAAGAAGCACCGGCUAACUCCGUGCCAGCAGCCGCGGUAAUUC
rnacentral:rRNA from 1 species